UAACUCUGGUUUCCCUUCAAAAACCAUAAAUCUUUUUGCCCCUUUCUAAAGGGGUUUGUGGAGGGGAACAACUUGUGUUUUAUUCAAUUUUUUUCUAUAGCCCCCUUUGGGGGUUCA